rnacentral:lncRNA from 1 species
UUAAGACAUCCUUAGAUGAAUUGUCCCCAUAUCUUGUAAAUUCAGCAAUAGCACAAGCAAUCAAUCUCUAUGGGGUCUCCUUCCUCAAUCCCUAGCUUCAUUCCAAAGCUCUCAAACUCUUCUCUUUUCACGUUAACAUCAAAACUCCCCAAAACUCUUACUUUUCUAUUUCUUUUAAAAUAUAUAGUAACUUAAUUAAAU